rnacentral:rRNA from 1 species
UGGGGGAUAUUGCACAAUGGGCGAAAGCCUGAUGCAGCGACGCCGCGUGGGGGAUGAAGGCUUUCGGGUUGUAAACCUCUUUCGCUAUCGAACAAGGCCCGCUUAGGGUGGGUUGAGGGUAGGUGGAGAAGAAGCGCCGGCUAACUACUUGCCAGCAGCCGCGGUAAUACGUAGGGCGCGAGCGUUGUCCGGAAUUAUUGGGCGUAAAGGGCUUGUAGGCGGCUUGUUGCGCCUGCUGUGAAAACGCGGGGCUUAACUUCGCGCGUGCAGUGGGUACGGGCAGGGUUGAGUGUGGUAGGGGUGACUGGAAUUCCAGGUGUAGCGGUGGAAUGCGCAGAUAUCUGGAGGAACACCGAUGGCGAAGGCAGGUCACUGGGCCAUUACUGACGCUGAGGAGCGAAAGCAUGGGUAGCGAACAGG